GGGGAAUUGUUCGCAAUGGGCGCAAGCCUGACGACGCAACGCCGCGUGGAGGAUGAAGAUCUUCGGGUCGUAAACUCCUUUCGAUCGAGACGAAUGGCCCUUGGGCUAACAUCCUGAGGGAAUGACGGUAACGAGAGAAGAAGCCCCGGCUAACUCCGUGCCAGCAGCCGCGGUAAUACGGGGGGGGCAAGCGUUGUUCGGAAUUACUGGGCGUAAAGGGCUCGUAGGCGGCCAACUAAGUCAGACGUGAAAUCCCCCGGCUUAACCUGGGAACUGCGUCUGAUACUGGACGGCUUGAGUAUGGGAGAGGGAUGUAGAAUUCCAGGUGUAGCGGUGAAAUGCGUAGAUAUCUGGAGGAAUACCGGUGGCGAAGGCGGCAUCCUGGACCAUUACUGACGCUGAGGCGCGAAAGCUAGGGGAGCAAAC
rnacentral:rRNA from 1 species